GGGUAAUUUUCCGCAAUGGGCGAAAGCCUGACGGAGCAAUACCGCGUGGGGGAAGAAGGCUCUUGGGUUGUAAACCUCUUUUCUUAGGGAAGAAAAAAAUGACGGUACCUAAGGAAUAAGCAUCGGCUAACUCCGUGCCAGCAGCCGCGGUAAUACGGAGGAUGCAAGCGUUAUCCGGAAUGAUUGGGCGUAAAGCGUCCGCAGGUGGCAAGUCAAGUUUGCGGUUAAAGGCUCUGGCUCAACCAGAGACAGGCCGUGAAAACUGACUAGCUAGAGUAUGGUAGGGGCAGAGGGAAUUCCCAGUGUAGCGGUGAAAUGCGUAGAGAUUGGGAAGAACACCGGUGGCGAAAGCGCUCUGCUAGGCCAAAACUGACACUGAGGGACGAAAGCUAGGGGAGCGAAUGGGAUUAGAUACCCCAGUAGUCCUAGCCGUAAACGAUGGAUACUAGGUGUAGCUUGUAUCGACCCAAGCUGUGCCGUAGCUAACGCGUUAAGUAUCC
rnacentral:rRNA from 1 species